CAUAUGGACGAAAGACGUAAACAGUUAUCCAUAUGAAUUCUUUUACGGUUCGUCUUGCAAUUUACAUUGAAAAAUAUAAGGAGGAAUAGUCGACUUCGAUUAUGGAUUUCCUUAUAUCUUACAUAUUUAUGGUUACUGUGUUGUUACAGAAAGUGUGUGUAAAAGUCUUAAGGAUUAAAGAGAUUAUAAUGUAUCAUAAGAUAUAACUCGUAUCUUUCAACGCAAAUGACGUAAAUAUAGAGUAAUUUUGUUGUUACUUGUACGAAAGAUCUGUACUAACGGUUUUUAAGAUGGAGAAUCUACUGAUUCUAUCUGCAGAAUAUAAAGAACAAUUAGAAAUAGGCGACGAGCUUGAACGUUUGCAAAAAAAAGCUAUGGAAGAAAUAAUCUGUAAAAAUAUUAUCAACAUCAUGAGAGUCUGGUAAAUUAUUAUGAAAAAUGAUUUUGUACUGUUUGAUGAAAGUGAUUCAGAAGGAAUUUACAAAGAGAUUAGCAGCCUCUUUCGGUGAAAGCAUCGCCAAGAUGUUCGAGAACCUGCAAAAUCGAAUAAUUGGCAAAGCAUAAGAAAUAUUAAGUACUCCGGAAACAAUUCCAUUCGUUAAUGCCUACUUUAAAUAAUAAAAUCUAUUGCAUAAAUUAAUAUAACCUACCGCCCUGAGUCCAACAAUCCAAUCUGCAUGUGAAGAUAAUAAGAUGUAAAUUUUAUAAUAUGAUAUAAAUGUUAUGUGAUAUUAUUUUUUAUAUGUUAAUCUUUUUCGAAUUAUUAUUUAUUACAAUUUCUUACUUUAUUUUCGGCUUUUUACAGAGACCAGUGUCCACCAUGUACGGAUAAAUAGUUGUAAAGUUUAUGUUCAAGUUCUUUCCUUUAGAGUAUUCUCGAAGCUCUUCGCUGAGAGCUUCCAUAAAACCUACACAAUAUUAAAUAAAAUUUAAUGUAUCUAUUAUCACAAUAAAUCCUCAUUUUUGUAGAUA